rnacentral:rRNA from 1 species
UGCUUGGGAAUAUGCCUUAGGGUGGGGGACAACAGUUGGAAACGACUGCUAAUACCGCAUAAUGUCUACGGACCAAAGGAGGGGAUUCUUCGGAACCUUUCGCCUUAAGAGUAGCCCAAGUGAGAUUAGCUAGUUGGUAAGGUAAAGGCUUACCAAGGCGACGAUCUCUAGCUGGUUUGAGAGGAUGAUCAGCCACACUGGGACUGAGACACGGCCCAGACUCCUACGGGAGGCAGCAGUGGGGAAUAUUGCACAAUGGGCGAAAGCCUGAUGCAGCCAUGCCGCGUGUGUGAAGAAGGC